UUGAACGCUGGCGGCAUGCUUUACACAUGCAAGUCGAACGGUAACAGGGAGCUUGCUCCGCUGACGAGUGGCGAACGGGUGAGUAAUGCAUCGGAACGUGCCCUGAAGUGGGGGAUAACGCAGCGAAAGUUGCGCUAAUACCGCAUAUUCUGUGAGCAGGAAAGCAGGGGAUCGCAAGACCUUGCGCUUUAGGAGCGGCCGAUGUCGGAUUAGCUAGUUGGUGGGGUAAAGGCUCACCAAGGCGACGAUCCGUAGCGGGUCUGAGAGGAGGAUCCGCCACACUGGGACUGAGACACGGCCCAGACUCCUACGGGAGGCAGCAGUGGGGAAUUUUGGACAAUGGGGGCAACCCUGAUCCAGCCAUGCCGCGUGAGUGAAGAAGGCCUUCGGGUUGUAAAGCUCUUUCAGACGGAAAGAAAGCGGGUGGGUGAAUAGCCUGCCUGGAUGACGGUACUGUCAGAAGAAGCACCGGCUAACUACGU
rnacentral:rRNA from 1 species